AUAGUUGUAAAUACCAAGAGAAUAUGAUUGUAUAAAAAUUCUGUUGAUGUAUAAAUUCUGUAUGAUUGUAUAAAAAUUCUUGUUGCAUUAGGACAUAUAAGGCGUCUAACGCUAAACUUAUAAAGUCAAUUUUGAUGUGAAACAACGUUCAUAUCAGCUAAUCAAUCCAUUUCCACUUUUUCGACCAUUAGUUCAAGUUCAAAGAAAAACUCUUCAAAAAAAAGGUUUUGUGUUUUUUGUCACAAAAUAAAAACUUGUCUUUCAAGACAUAUCUGCAGAGUCCAAAAAAAAAUCCAAGAAGUUAAAGAUAUCCUUUAGCUAAGUAAAUGUAAAAGAAAAAAAGCUUUAUCUCUGUUAAAAAGAAAAGGGAUAUAUAAAUAUAACAUUCAGCAAGUUGAAGAAGGAUCAACAGUUUAUAAUAGGGAGCGAGUUUCAAAAGACAAUUUGAUAUAGCCUAUUGUAACAAUUGUUUGAAAUUUUCUACCAAAAGGAGUUAGAGUGUGCAUUUAAAAAAAAGUCAUCAAGAAUUCGACAAAAUGAUAAAUCCAGUUUCUGUUGGCUUUCUUACAUUACCAAAAAACGUUAAGUUGUACAAGAAUUUUAAGAAUGACAUUUUGGCACACUUUCAUACUGAUCAUAUUUCAGAUAUUUGUAUGAAUGAUGAAAUGUUUCUUAGCAUUGGGUCCUGGCUGUAAAUGGAUAAAAAACACAAUAAAGACAAGCUUGUUGUUUCAAAAAGUUCUGUUAGAAAUUCUAUAAGACAGUUAGCUCAUUUAUAUUUUUUUUUUUUCCAACAAGAGAUUGUUUCAAAGUUAAACAACCUUAGAAGUAGAUAAAUUUUACUUUGUUUUCAAUUUAAGUAAAGGCAGCAUUUUUGUUAAUUUUUGGCGUCAUAUGCAUUAACAAAAAAUAAACAAAUAAUAUUAUGUAAACCAGAUAAUCAUCACAGACGUUAAAAUGGUUACAGCUUAUAUUAUCUCAAAAAUUGGCAAUCUCACAAAAAAACUCCUUCAUUCAAUCAAAUCUGAGGAUUACAUCACGUUGAGAGAUAUCAUUUGUGCUAGAUUGACAAUAGUAAAUGGAAGACGAGGUAUUCAUAUUAUUGAUAAACAUAUUAGGGCUUAUUUAAUUAUCAUUAUUAUUAUCAAUUUAACUAUUACUUUAACUAUUAUUAUUUAUUUUUAAUUUUUGAAAUUAUUCCUUUUCUUGAUGUCUGAGUUUUUUUAUAGAUAUGCAAAAAUUUAACAUCCUAAAUGUCAUCAUUUCAUAUUUUUAGUUUUAAACUGAUGACUCAGAUUUUGGUAAUAUGUAAAAAAGUUUGAAUUUUACUUCAAGGUGGUAAGGUGGUGAACCAGCAAGGCUUUAACUGUAUAAAUAUUUUAAGCUAUCAACGAUAAACAUUUUGACCAACAAUAUUUCAAGAAGCUAAGCGAAAUUGACAAAUUGAUAAAUGCUUUUAAGGUCACCUGGCGGUGAAGGGGUAAAUGAUGUUUCUGUUUUUUUUCCACCCGAUACUCUUCCUGUCUUAAAAAUCCUUGCUGAUCAAGGUAUAAGAAUCCUGUCAGAAUUUUAAAAGAAAACAUUUUAUUCUUUGCAUGCACAAGGAGUUCAGAAGGGCAUACUUAUGAUUAGAAGGCAAUUAAUGAUGUUGCCUCUAAAUUGCCUUUAAAUAAACCAGCAAAUUUUAAAGCAACAAACAAUAGACAUUUAGUGAGUGAUUAUAUUCAGCACCUCAAACUGAGUGAAAAGGUUAAAGACUCUUUUUACAAACAUAUGGGCCACUCUAAAAACACAAAUGAAAAUACUUAUCAAUUGCAACCAGGCAUUGCGUCUAUCCUAAACAAUGGGUUAAAGCUUUUGAAAAUAGAUUUAGAUUAUGGAGGACCAAGUUGUUCAAAGUUAAACAUAAAUCAAGAUAAUGAAGAUCCAAGUUGUUCUAAAUUAAAUAUAUAUCCAGAUAAAAAAAGAAAAAAGAAUGUAAUAAAAAGAAAAAAAAAAGAAAUAUAUUUACUGUAACUGAAUUUUUACCAGGU